rnacentral:rRNA from 1 species
UGGGGAAUAUUGCACAAUGGGCGCAAGCCUGAUGCAGCCAUGCCGCGUGUGUGAAGAAGGACUUCGGGUUGUAAAGUACUUUCAGUCGGGAGGAAGGUGGUAAGGUUAAUAACCUUAUCAAUUGACGUUACCGACAGAAGAAGCACCGGCUAACUCCGUGCCAGCAGCCGCGGUAAUACGGAGGGUGCAAGCGUUAAUCGGAAUUACUGGGCGUAAAGCGCACGCAGGCGGUUGAUUGAGUCAGAUGUGAAAUCCCCGGGCUUAACCCGGGAAUUGCAUCUGAUACUGGUCAGCUAGAGUCUUGUAGAGGGGGGUAGAAUUCCAUGUGUAGCGGUGAAAUGCGUAGAGAUGUGGAGGAAUACCGGUGGCGAAGGCGGCCCCCUGGACAAAGACUGACGCUCAGGUGCGAAAGCGUGGGGAGCAAACAGG